CUUGUGUAUUUGUUGAAUUGGGUGACAUCAAGUACUAGGAAGUUGACAUGGUGACUUGGGAUCCUUCAUCUCAAAGUGUUGUAGGUGCUCUUUAACAAGAUUUUAAAUUCUGUGGGAUGAGGUUGUCCCGAUUUUUUCAUGGAACGGGAUGUGCCGCCAUCCCGCCCCAUCCCGAUACUUGGGAUAGCGGAUGUCUCAAGGCGUCUCGAUUGGGAUGCUAGCGGGAUGGCCCUGUCAUGACAUAUGGGAUAGUGUUAUAUCUUAAUGUCCUGUGGGACGUCCUGCUGGGAUCUAAAUUCUUGCUUUUUAACUGGCUAAAUGUUAAAAGCAUUGCACUAACUCUAGUCAUGUUAUCACUAUGGGUUUGAAUGGUAUAAUUGAUUGAGGUAUAGAGGAAUAUGACAUGAUCAUUCUUGUCAAAAAUGGGGCUGGCUGCUAGGAUUGUAUGACUAGAUUUCUUUAUGCUUGGCACUUGCUUGACACAAUUGAAUGCCUAAAGAAGGUAGUAGACAUGUCGAGGAGGAUGGUAAAGGCUUGGGGACUAUUGUUUAUAGACCCUAUUAUUUGUUAUGAAGAUCACCAUGCUGAGACAUUCUUUGGUACUGAAAGAGUAUUGGGCACAAAAUUGGUUACAACUGUUUAAGACAAGGAAUGAAAAAUGGACUUACUAACAAAA
rnacentral:lncRNA from 1 species